UGCCUAAACUAUCCGGUAGGAUAGCACGGCAGAAAAUGCGGUUCAGGUUAUUAAGCUCCUAGUCAGAGCACCUGAACCGUCAUAUUCCGAAAGGAGUAUGGGUGGCGCAAGCCAUC
rfam:Microgenomates (Levybacteria) bacterium GW2011_GWB1_36_18 TS07_C0005, whole genome shotgun sequence.